UACAGAGGGUGCAAGCGUUUAAUCGGAAUUACUGGGCGUAAAGCGUGCGUAGACGGUUAUUUAAGUCAGGUGUGAAAGCCCCGGGCUCAACCUGGGAAUUGCAUUUGAGACUGAAUAGCUAGGGUGCGGAAGAGGGAAGCGGAAUUUCCGGUGUAGCGGUGAAAUGCGUAGAUAUCGGAAGGAACACCAGUGGCGAAAAGCGGCUUCCUGGUCCAGCACCGACGUUCAGGCACGAAAGCGUGGGGAGCAAACAGG
rnacentral:rRNA from 1 species